rnacentral:snoRNA from 1 species
CCAACUGAAAUGAUGAGGUUUUCAUGUCUCUUCUCUGCCACAAACCCUGGAGACAACCAAGACUUCUGAUCUCAUAACUGCUAGUUUU